rnacentral:rRNA from 1 species
UUAGAGGAAGUAAAAGUCGUAACAAGGUUUCCGUAGGUGAACCUGCGGAAGGAUCAUUACCUAGAGUUGUAGGCUUUGCCUACCAUCUCUUACCCAUGUCUUUUGAGUACCUUCGUUUCCUCGGCGGGUCCGCCCGCCGAUUGGACAAACUUAAACCCUUUGUAAUUGAAAUCAGCGUCUGAAAAAACAUAAUAGUUACAACUUUCAACAACGGAUCUCUUGGUUCUGGCAUCGAUGAAGAACGCAGCGAAAUGCGAUAAGUAGUGUGAAUUGCAGAAUUCAGUGAAUCAUCGAAUCUUUGAACGCACAUUGCGCCCCUUGGUAUUCCAUGGGGCAUGCCUGUUCGAGCGUCAUUUGUACCUUCAAGCUCUGCUUGGUGUUGGGUGUUUGUCUCGCCUCUGCGUGUAGACUCGCCUUAAAACAAUUGGCAGCCGGCGUAUUGAUUUCGGAGCGCAGUACAUCUCGCGCUUUGCACUCAUAACGACGACGUCCAAAAAGU